rnacentral:rRNA from 1 species
UAGAGUUUGACUCCUGGCUCAGGACGAACGCUGGCGGCGUGCUUAACACAUGCAAGUCGAACGGAAAGGCUCCAGCUUGCUGGAGUACUCGAGUGGCGAACGGGUGAGUAACACGUGGGUAAUCUGCCCUGCACUCUGGGAUAAGCCUGGGAAACUGGGUCUAAUACUGGAUAUGACCUUUCUCCUUAUGGGGUUUGGUGGAAAGUUUUUCGGUGUAGGAUGAGCCCGCGGCCUAUCAGCUUGUUGGUGGGGUGAUGGCCUACCAAGGCGACGACGGGUAGCCGGCCUGAGAGGGUGAUCGGCCACAUUGGGACUGGGAUACGGCCCAGACUCCUACGGGAGGCAGCAGUGGGGAAUAUUGCACAAUGGGCGGAAGCCUGAUGCAGCGACGCCGCGUGAGGGAUGACGGCCUUCGGGUUGUAAACCUCUUUCAGCAGGGACGAAGCGUAAGUGACGGUACCUGCAGAAGAAGCACCGGCUAACUAUGUG